AAAAACAGAGGUUUGUCCCCAUCUGCUCUCUAUCUCUCUCACCUUUUUUCAUUUCUCAGGCUUCAUCAACUUCCAUCAUUUAAAAAAACAACCAAAAAACAUUCUUCUUUUCCCCUCAUCCACCAUAACAUUGCCCUUCAUAGCCUCCCUCACAACCCCAUAUUUCUAAACUUCAAAACAUCCAUAAAACAUUAACACAAUACCACCCUUCUCCCUUC
rnacentral:lncRNA from 1 species